rnacentral:rRNA from 1 species
UACGUAGGGGGCUAGCGUUGUCCGGAAUCACUGGGCUUAAAGCGUGUGUAGGCGGGUCGUUAAGUACCUUGUGAAAUCCCACGGCUCAACCGUGGAACGGCUGGGUAUACUGGCGAUCUUGGGCCAUCUAGGGGCAGCUGGAACAAGCGGUGGAGCGGUGAAAUGCGUAGAUAUCGCUUGGAACGCCAAAGGUGAAAACAGGCUGCUGGGGAUGUGCC